UACCCGCGGCCCGAGUGGUGCUCAUUAUUAUUGAGUCUAAAACGUCCGUAGCCGGUCGGGUAGAUUCCUGGGUAAAUCGAGCCGCUUAACGGUUCGAAUUCCGGGGAGACCGCGCGACUAGGGACCGGGAGAGGCGUGAGGUACUCCUGGGGUAGGGGUAAAAUCCUGUAAUCCUGGGAGGACCACCAGUGGCGAAGGCGUCAUGCUAGAACGGAUCCGACGGUCAGGGACGAAGCCCAGGGGCGCAAACGGG
rnacentral:rRNA from 1 species